AUUUUUCUAUUCCUUGUGGAUUCAAAGUCAGUUUCAGUGACGAAAAAUUAUUUAAUUAUUGUUCUAACGCGAUGAAAUAGAUAUCUAGAUGAUAGCAGACACAUGUUUGAUCUUGAAGUGCAGGACGAAAUUGACAUCGAAGAACAGGAAUCGUCGCAUAUAUUCAAGUUAGAAAAAGACGCAAGUGAUGCGACGCUCACAUUCAAAGUCGAUGAUAAUUUGGAGAAUCCUGAAUAUAUGCAAACGCUGAACACAAAUGCUACAGAAGAAUUAGACGGCUGCAAAUGUAACGUAUUUUGCGAAACGUUUGUUUUGGUAGGUGAUUUCAAGCCUCAUAUUAUCAAACGUUCGGAAGAUAGAACUCUUCAAUGCAAAUUAACGUUUGAGGGAAAUGUUUCCUUAAAGGUUCACAUUCGGAAACACACUCAAGGAAGACGGUAUCAUUGUAAAAUUUGUAAUAAAACCUAUUUUUCUUUUUGGGAUUUAUCUCAGCAUGUGAAUAGUCAUUCAGACAAUCGCCCUUAUGUAUGUAAAAAAUCAAAGUUAAUAAAGCCAUUAAUGAGAGUCUGAGGGCAGUUGGAAAAAUGAUCGAAGAUGAGUUUCACAGUCUGCUUCAAGAGGGAAAAUAUUCGUGGGCAUAAUGCGUAGAAAAAAUCGAGAUUUGUAAUGAAACAGCCUGUAAAGCACAGUGUCAAGUUGUUCACAUGUUCAAAUGUUCAUCGCAGUAUUCGAAAAGAGGGCUAAAUUAUUUGCUAUCUUUUUGCAAAGCUUGUCAUCAACCGAGAAUAUGAGCUUGUUUGAUUUCCUUUAUUAUUUACUGUUUUGCUGUUGUUAUAAUCGUAUAUUAAACGUCGUUUUAAUUUUGAGACCCAAAUGAGAAAAAUAUAUGUUUUUAUAACAUUAGAUCGUUCUUAUAAUUGGAAUUUGCGCUGCAUGUCGAUAACUGGAAUUGCGGAACAUAAAACCUCAACAUAUAGAAGAUACUACAAAAUGUUUUAUUAUUUUUAUUUCUGAAUCUAAAACUUAGCGACAACGUUCUUUUGUUGUACCGAAACAUUUUUAACCUACAGUAAAAAAAUAUAUGAACAUUUGUUCUAUCUCAAAGAAUGCUACAGAUUUAUCAUUUUUUUUUAUUCGAUUUAGUGGAAAAUGCCUUCUCCGCACAUUGUUUUCGGAGGUCGUCAGCAACUAUUCUUGCUGAUGACUGUGGUGGUUUGCUAGACUUAAAAAGAUACGGCGGCUGAAAAUCAUCAACCCGUUGAAGGAUAUGUGAACAAUCCCAUCAAGAAUAAAAUUAACAAUUCAGGAAAAAUUACAUCUGCCAUAACAACUGUAGAUAAUUCCAAUAUAACUGGCAAUGCAACAUUGGAUAAUGUAUCUAAGACAUUAAGAUAGUUAUUUAAUGAGAAGUGUGGGAAAUAGGAAACGUAUCACCCAAUUGCGUUUAAUCGCAUUUUCCAAAACUCAUAUCAUAGUAUAUGAAUCAAUUUUGGUAACAGUAUCAACUAAUUAUAAUAAUUCUAAUUUUUAGGUCUCAGAAACCCAUUAAACUGCAGCCCGACAUUAAUAUAAAAGAGCAAAUUAAAAUUGCUUCCACCGAAAGCUUUCUAAAUUUAGAAAAUAUGCUGAUUCCUGACUGGUUAUUUUACCGUAUUGAGGACCAGUACUUACUUUGACACGUAUUCAGACGAUAGCAGACACAUGUUUGAUGUUGAAUUGAGGGAAGUAGUUGGAAUCGAAGAACAUAAAUUGUCGCAUAUGGUAGAGUUAAAAAACGUUGCAAGUGAUGCGACACUCAUAUUCAGCGUCGAGGAUAAUUUAGAAAAAAAUGGAAAAAUGCAAAUACUGAACACAAAUGCCACAGAAGAAUUAGAAGGCUACAAACGUAACGCAUGUGCCGAAACGUUUGUUUUGGUUUCCAAGCCCAUUUGGAUGCGCUCAUUGGGGUCUAAUUCCUGACUGUUUCGGAACCAC